rnacentral:rRNA from 1 species
AGUGAACGCUGGCGGUAGGCCUAACACAUGCAAGUCGAACGGCAGCACAGUAAGAGCUUGCUCUUACGGGUGGCGAGUGGCGGACGGGUGAGGAAUACAUCGGAAUCUACUUUUUCGUGGGGGUUAACGUAGGGAAACUUACGCUAAUACCGCAUACGACCUACGGGUGAAAGCAGGGGAUCUUCGGACCUUGCGCGAUUGAAUGAGCCGAUGUCGGAUUAGCUAGUUGGCGGGGUAAAAGCCCACCAAGGCGACGAUCCGUAGCUGGUCUGAGAGGAUGAUCAGCGACACUGGAACUGAGAGACGGUACAGACUCCGACGGGAGGCAGCAGUGGGGAAUAUUGGAAGAUGGGGGCAAGCCUGAACCAGCCAUGCCGCGUGGGUGAAGAAAGCCUUCGGGUUGUAAAGCCCUUUUGUUGGGAAAGAAAAGCAGCAGGUUAAAACCCCGCUGUUCUGACGGAACCCAAAGAAUAAGCACCGGCUAACAUCGU